UACGAAGGACCCGAGCGUUAUCCGGAUUUAUUGGGUUUAAAGGGUGCGUAGGCGGAAUAGUAAGUCAGUGGUGAAAGCCUGUUGCUUAACAACAGAACUGCCAUCGAUACUGCUAAUCUUGAGUACAUAUGAUGUGGGCGGAAUGUGCCAUGUAGCGGUGAAAUGCUUAGAUAUGGCACAGAACACCGAUUGCGAAGGCAGCUCACAAAACUGUUACUGACGCUGAGACGCGAAAGCGUGGGGAGCGAACAGG
rnacentral:rRNA from 1 species